CCAAGGAGUCUAACAUGUGCGCGAGUCACUCGGUCUUGAAUAGGCCAGAGAGGCGCAAUGAAAGUAAAGUUGAUUGAGUUACGAUCCUCAUCCACGUCUUCGGACGGUGGGGCGCAGUAACAGCCCGCCAAUUUCGCUUUUUGACGAUAUGGCGGAGUUAUAGCGUACACGUUGGUACCCGAAAGAUGGUGAACUAUGCCUGGGCAAGACGAAGCCAGAGGAAACUCUGGUGGAGGUCUGUAGCGAUUCUGACGUGCAAAUCGAUCGUCCGACCUGGGUAUAGGGGCGAAAGACUAAUCRAACCAUC
rnacentral:rRNA from 1 species